rnacentral:rRNA from 1 species
UGGGGAAUAUUGCACAAUGGGCGCAAGCCUGAUGCAGCCAUGCCGCGUGUAUGAAGAAGGCCUUCGGGUUGUAAAGUACUUUCAGCGAGGAGGAAGGCGUUGUGGUUAAUAACCGCAGCGAUUGACGUUACUAGCAGAAGAAGCACCGGCUAACUCCGUGCCAGCAGCCGCGGUAAUACGGAGGGGGCAAGCGUUAAUCGGAAUUACUGGGCGUAAAGCGCACGCAGGCGGUCUGUCAAGUCGGAUGUGAAAUCCCCGGGCUCAACCUGGGAACUGCAUCCGAAACUGGCAGGCUAGAGUCUUGUAGAGGGGGGUAGAAUUCCAGGUGUAGCGGUGAAAUGCGUAGAGAUCUGGAGGAAUACCGGUGGCGAAGGCGGCCCCCUGGACAAAGACUGACGCUCAGGUGCGAAAGCGUGGGGAGCAAACA